rnacentral:rRNA from 1 species
GACGAACGCUGGCGGCGUGCCUAACACAUGCAAGUCGAGCGAUGAAACCCUUCGGGGCGGAUUAGCGGCGGACGGGUGAGUAACACGUGGGUAACCUGCCUCAAAGAGGGGAAUAGCCUCCCGAAAGGGAGAUUAAUACCGCAUAAUAUGUUUUGGUCACAUGGCCUUAACAUCAAAGGAUUUUCUUCGGAAAAUUCACUUUGAGAUGGACCCGCGGCGCAUUAGCUAGUUGGUGGGGUAAUGGCCUACCAAGCCGACGAUCCAUAGCUGGUCUGAGAGGAUGAUCAGCCACAUUGGGACUGAGACACGGCCCAAACUCCUACGGGAGGCAGCAGUGGGGAAUAUUGGACAAUGGGCGGACGCCUGAUCCAGCAACGCCGCGUGAGGGAUGACGGCCUUC